rnacentral:lncRNA from 1 species
AUAUAGUUUGUGUUUACAAUGUUUGUUUGCUCCACUCGUUGUCCUGUUUUCGUGACAACGGGGCCACAGAUAUCGCUGCUGUGAUUGGACGCUGGGUAUUUUGCAUGUGAAGUGUUGUUUUUACGAGCCGAAAUUAAAGAUCGCAGAAAUGUUCCCUACUCAACAAGCUGAUUUUAAACAGCGUGAUCAUUACACAGGUGCACCUUGUGCUGGGGGGGGGGGGGCAAUAAAGGGCCACUCUCUAAAAAUGUUUCAUGUUUUGAGGGAACGAGCAAUUGGCGUGUUGACUGCAGGAGCUGUUGCCGGGAUAAUUGAAUGUUCAUUUCUCUACCAUAAGCCGCUUCCAACGUCGUUUUUUUUUGUUUGUUGAGAAUUUGGCUCUACGUUCAAUUGGUCUCAUAACCGCAGACCCACGUGUACGGCGUCGUGUGGGCCCCAUGGUGGAGGUGGGGUUAUGGUAUUGGGCCCCAUGGUGGAGGUGGGGUUAUGGUAUUGGGCCCCAUGGUGGAGGUGGGGAUAUGGUAUUGGGCCCCAUGGUGGAGGUGGGGUUAUGGUAUUGGGCCCCAUGGUGGAGGUGGGGUUAUGGUAUUGGGCCCCAUGGUGGAGGUGGGGUUAUGGUAUGGGCCCCAUGGUGGAGGUGGGGUUAUGGUAUUGGGCCCCAUGGUGGAGGUGGGGUUAUGGUAUUGGGCCCCAUGGUGGAGGUGGGGUUAUGGUAUUGGGCCCCAUGGUGGAGGUGGGGUUAUGGUAUGUGACAGGCAUAAGCUACGGACAACGAACACAAUGGCAAUUUAAAUGAACAAGUUUAUUUAUUUUAAAGGUAUCUGUGACCAACAGAUUCAUAUCUGUAUUCCCAGUCAUGUGAAAUCCGUAGAUUAGGGGCCUAAUGAAUUGAUUUAAAUUGACUGAUUUCCUCAUAUGAACUGUAACUCAGCCUCUAGUGGUCAGAGCGUUGGACUAGUAACCGGAAGGUUGCUGGAUCCAAUCCCCUGAGUUGACAAGGUAAAAAAACUAAUCUGUCGUUCUGCCCCCUGAACAAG